AGAGCGAACGCUGGCGGCAGGCCUAACACAUGCAAGUCGAGCGCCCCGCAAGGGGAGCGGCGGACGGGUGAGUAACACGUGGGAACGUGCCCUUCGGUUCGGGAUAACUCAGGGAAACUUGAGCUAACACCGGAUACGCCCUUCGGGGGAAAGGUUACGCCGAUGGAGCGGCCCGCGUUGGAUUAGCUUGUUGGUGGGGUAAUGGCCCACCAAGGCUACGAUCCAUAGCUGGUCUGAGAGGAUGAUCAGCCACACUGGGACUGAGACACGGCCCAGACUCCUACGGGAGGCAGCAGUGGGGAAUCUUGCGCAAAUGGGCGAAAGCCUGACGCAGCCAUGCCGCGUGAAUGAUGAGGGUCUUAGGAUUGUAAAAUUCUUUCAGCGGGACGAUAAUGACGGUACCCGCAGAAGAAGCCCGGCUAACUCGUGCCAGCAGCCGC
rnacentral:rRNA from 1 species